UACGGAGGGUGCGAGCGUUGUCCGGAAUCACUGGGCGUAAAGGGCGCGUAGGCGGCCUGAUAAGUAGGGGGUGAAAUCCUGCGGCUUAACCGCAGGGCUGCCUUCUAAACUGUCAGGCUCGAGCACAGUAGAGGCAGGUGGAAUUCCCGGUGUAGCGGUGGAAUGCGUAGAGAUCCGGAAGAACACCGGUGGCGAAGGCGGUCUGCUGGGCAGUAGCUGACACUGAGGCGCGACAGCGUGGGGAGCAAACAGG
rnacentral:rRNA from 1 species